rnacentral:rRNA from 1 species
CGCAAGCCUGACGGAGCAAGACCGCGUGGGGGAGGAAUGCCUUAGGGUUGUAAACCCCUUUUAUCUGGGAAGAACAAAAUGACGGUACCAGAUGAAUAAGCCUCGGCUAACUCCGUGCCAGCAGCCGCGGUAAUACGGAGGAGGCAAGCGUUAUCCGGAAUUAUUGGGCGUAAAGAGUCCGUAGGUGGUUUCUCAAGUCUGCUGUUAAAGACAGAAGCUCAACUUCUGAUGGGCAGUGGAAACUGAGAGACUAGAGUAUGGUAGGGGUAGAGGGAAUUCCCAGUGUAGCGGUGAAAUGCGUAGAGAUUGGGAAGAACACCGGUGGCGAAAGCGCUCUACUGGGCCAAAACUGACACUGAGGGACGAAAGCUAGGGGAGCG